rnacentral:rRNA from 1 species
GACGAACGCUGGCGGCGUGCCUAAUACAUGCAAGUUGAGCGAUGAAGCUUGGUGCUUGCACCAAUUUGAAGAGCAGCGAACGGGUGAGUAACGCGUGGGGAAUCUGCCUUUGAGCGGGGGACAACAUUUGGAAACGAAUGCUAAUACCGCAUAACAACUUUAAACAUAAGUUUUAAGUUUGAAAGGUGCAAUUGCAUCACUCAAAGAUGAUCCCGCGUUGUAUUAGCUAGUUGGUGAGGUAAAGGCUCACCAAGGCGAUGAUACAUAGCCGACCUGAGAGGGUGAUCGGCCACAUUGGGACUGAGACACGGCCCAAACGCCUACGGGAGGCAGCAGUAGGGAAUCUUCGGCAAUGGACGAAAGUCUGACCGAGCAACGCCGCGUGAGGGAAGAAGGUUUUCGGAUCGUAAAACUCUGUUGGUAGAGAAGAACGUUGGUGAGAGUGGAAAGCUCAUCAAGUGACGGUAACUACCCAGAAAGGGACGGCUAACUACGUG